GGCGACUGCUGCAGAUUCAGGAGCUUUUGCACACAUAGGGUUCUACUCCCUAUGUUAGGUAUCAGGAGACGGGCAGGUUCUACUCCCACUCCUAUAGAACUUCCCUUCACCAGUUAUAGUGGAGGUCGAAAGACACGGAAAGACGAGGACAGCCCACAUAAGCGAAGUAAAGGCUUUUUACGAGAGGGGAGACGAACUUCCCGGAAGCAGCAAACAACCCCCCAGCGAAAAUACGAAGAACCGAAACAAAGGCACAGAGACGAAGGAAGGAAAAAUAAUUAAGAGAAGUUUUGGGAGGAAAGGGGUAGAUAAACAAACAAACUUGAGGAAGAUUGAAGAGAAGAAUUACAGAGGGCAAACGAUAUAUGAGAGGGAAAUUUGUGUAGGAAAUGCUA